UACGGAGGGGGCUAGCGUUGUUCGGAAUUACUGGGCGUAAAGCGCACGUAGGCGGACCUGCAAGUCGGGGGUGAAAGCCCGAGGCUCAACCUCGGAACUGCCUUCGAUACUGUCGGUCUCGAGUCCGGGAGAGGUGAGUGGAAUUCCUAGUGUAGAGGUGAAAUUCGUAGAUAUUAGGAAGAACACCAGUGGCGAAGGCGGCUCACUGGCCCGGUACUGACGCUGAGGCGCGAAAGCGUGGGGAGCAAACAGG
rnacentral:rRNA from 1 species